CCGACGGUGAGGGGUGAAAGCUGGGGGCACGAACCGGAUUAGAUACCCGGGUAGUCCCAGCUGUAAACGAUGCUCGCUAGGUGUCAGGUGCGGUGCGACCGCAUCUGGUGCCGCAGUGAAAACUUGAAGCGAGUCACCUGGGAAGUACGGUCGCAAGGCUGAAACUUAAAGGAAUUGGCGGGGGAGCACUACAACGGGUGGAGCCUGCGGUUCAAUUGGAUUCAACGCCGGAAAGCUUACCGGACUC
rnacentral:rRNA from 1 species